rnacentral:rRNA from 1 species
UACGUAGGGUGCAAGCGUUAAUCGGAAUUACUGGGCGUAAAGCGUGCGCAGGCGGUUCUAUAAGACAGAUGUGAAAUCCCCGGGCUCAACCUGGGAACUGCAUUUGUGACUGUAGAGCUGGAGUACGGCAGAGGGGGAUGGAAUUCCGCGUGUAGCAGUGAAAUGCGUAGAUAUGCGGAGGAACACCGAUGGCGAAGGCAAUCCCCUGGGCCUGUACUGACGCUCAUGCACGAAAGCCAGGGGAGCAAACGGG